rnacentral:rRNA from 1 species
GACGAACGCUGGCGGCGUGCUUAACACAUGCAAGUCGAACGGUGAAGCGCCUUCCUUUUUGGUGGGUGUGGAUGAGUGGCGAACGGGUGAGUAACACGUUAGUAACCUGCCCCCUUCUUCUGGAUAACCGCAUGAAAGUGUGGCUAAUACGGGAUAUUCUGUGUCUGUCGCAUGAUGGGUCUGGGAGAGAUUUUGUUUCGGUGGGGGCUGGGCUCGCGGCCUAUCAGCUUGUUGGUGGGGUGAUGGCCUACCAAGGCGGUGACGGGUAGCCGGCAUGAGAGGGUGGACGGUCACGCAGGGACGGAGACACGGCCAAGACUCCGACGGGAGGCAGCGGUGAGGAAUAGUGCACGAUGGGCGCAAGCCUGAAGCAGCGACGCCGCGUGAGGGAUGGAGGCCUUCGUGUUGUGAACCUCUUUCGCCAGUGAAGCAGGGCUGCCUCGUAUGUGGGUGAGUUGACGGUAGCUGGAGAAGAAGCGCCGGCUAACUACGUG